rnacentral:rRNA from 1 species
UUAUUAUGAGAGUUUGAUCCUGGCUCAGGACGAACGCUGGCGGCGUGCCUAAUACAUGCAAGUCGAACGCUUCUUUCCUCCCGAGUGCUUGCACUCAUUUGGAAAGAGGAGUGGCGGACGGGUGAGUAACACGUGGGUAACCUACCCAUCAGAGGGGGAUAACACUUGGAAACAGGUGCUAAUACCGCAUAACAGUUUAUGCCGCAUGGCAUAAGAGUGAAAGGCGCUUUCGGGUGUC